rnacentral:rRNA from 1 species
CCCGUACACAAAAUCGCAUGUGUUGUGAACUCGAAGAGUAGGGCGGGACACGUGGUAUCCUGUCUGAAUAUGGGGGGACCAUCCUCCAAGGCUAAAUACUCCUGACUGACCGAUAGUGAACCAGUACCGUGAGGGAAAGGCGAAAAGAACCCCGGCGAGGGGAGUGAAAAAGAACCUGAAACCGUGUACGUACAAGCAGUGGGAGCCUCUUUAUGGGGUGACUGCGUACCUUUUGUAUAAUGGGUCAGCGACUUAUAUUCUGUAGCAAGGUUAACCGAAUAGGGGAGCCGAAGGGAAACCGAGUCUUAACUGGGCGUUAAGUUGCAGGGUAUAGACCCGAAACCCGGUGAUCUAGCCAUGGGCAGGUUGAAGGUUGGGUAACACUAACUGGAGGACCGAACCGACUAAUGUUGAAAAAUUAGCGGAUGACUUGUGGCUGGGGGUGAAAGGCCAAUCAAACCGGGAGAUAGCUGGUUCUCCCCGAAAGCUAUUUAGGUAGCGCCUCGUGAAUUCAUCUUCGGGGGUAGAGCACUGUUUCGGCUAGGGGGUCAUCCCGACUUACCAACCCGAUGCAAACUGCGAAUACCGAAGAAUGUUAUCACGGGAGACACACGGCGGGUGCUAACGUCCGUCGUGAAGAGGGAAACAACCCAGACCGCCAGCUAAGGUCCCAAAGUCACAGUUAAGUGGGAAACGAUGUGGGAAGGCACAGACAGCCAGGAUGUUGGCUUAGAAGCAGCCAUCAUUUAAAGAAAGCGUAAUAGCUCACUGGUCGAGUCGGCCUGCGCGGAAGAUGUAACGGGGCUAAACUGUGCACCGAAGCUGCGGCAGCGACACUAUGUGUUGUUGGGUAGGGGAGCGUUCUGUAAGCCGUUGAAGGUGUCCUGUGAGGGGUGCUGGAGGUAUCAGAAGUGCGAAUGCUGACAUAAGUAACGAUAAUGCGGGUGAAAAACCCGCACGCCGGAAGACCAAGGGUUCCUGUCCAACGUUAAUCGGGGCAGGGUGAGUCGACCCCUAAGGCGAGGCCGAAAGGCGUAGUCGAUGGGAAACAGGUUAAUAUUCCUGUACUUGGUGUUACUGCGAAGGGGGGACGGAGAAGGCUAUGUUAGCCGGGCGACGGUUGUCCCGGUUUAAGCAUGUAGGCGGGAAGUUUAGGUAAAUCCGGACUUCUUUUAACGCUGAGGUGUGAUGACGAGGCACUACGGUGCUGAAGUAACAAAUGCCCUGCUUCCAGGAAAAGCCUCUAAGCAUCAGGUAACACGAAAUCGUACCCCAAACCGACACAGGUGGUCAGGUAGAGAAUACCAAGGCGCUUGAGAGAACUCGGGUGAAGGAACUAGGCAAAAUGGUGCCGUAACUUCGGGAGAAGGCACGCUGAUGGUAGGUGAAGCGACUUGCUCGUGGAGCUGAAAUCAGUCGAAGAUACCAGCUAUGUAGGUGAAGUGGUUUACCCAUGGAGCUGAAAUCAGUCGAAGAUACCAGCUGGCUGCAACUGUUUAUUAAAAACACAGCACUGUGCAAACACGAAAGUGGACGUAUACGGUGUGACGCCUGCCCGGUGCCGGAAGGUUAAUUGAUGGGGUUAUCCGUAAGGAGAAGCUCUUGAUCGAAGCCCCGGUAAACGGCGGCCGUAACUAUAACGGUCCUAAGGUAGCGAAAUUCCUUGUCGGGUAAGUUCCGACCUGCACGAAUGGCGUAAUGAUGGCCAGGCUGUCUCCACCCGAGACUCAGUGAAAUUGAACUCGCUGUGAAGAUGCAGUGUACCCGCGGCAAGACGGAAAGACCCCGUGAACCUUUACUAUAGCUUGACACUGAACACUGGUCCUUGAUGUGUAGGAUAGGUGGGAGGCUUUGAAGUGUGGACGCCAGUCUGCAUGGAGCCGACCUUGAAAUACCACCCUUUAAUGGCUGGUGUUCUAACGUAGACCCGUAAUCCGGGUUGCGGACAGUGUCUGGUGGGUAGUUUGACUGGGGCGGUCUCCUCCUAAAGAGUAACGGAGGAGCACGAAGGUUAGCUAAUCCUGGUCGGACAUCAGGAGGUUAGUGCAAAGGCAUAAGCUAGCUUGACUGCGAGAGUGACGGCUCGAGCAGGUGCGAAAGCAGGUCUUAGUGAUCCGGUGGUUCUGAAUGGAAGGGCCAUCGCUCAACGGAUAAAAGGUACUCCGGGGAUAACAGGCUGAUACCGCCCAAGAGUUCAUAUCGACGGCGGUGUUUGGCACCUCGAUGUCGGCUCAUCACAUCCUGGGGCUGAAGUAGGUCCCAAGGGUAUGGCUGUUCGCCAUUUAAAGUGGUACGCGAGCUGGGUUUAGAACGUCGUGAGACAGUUCGGUCCCUAUCUGCCGUGGGCGCUGGAGAAUUGAGGGGGGCUGCUCCUAGUACGAGAGGACCGGAGUGGACGCAUCACUGGUGUUCGGGUUGUCAUGCCAAUGGCAUUGCCCGGUAGCUAAAUGCGGAAGAGAUAAGUGCUGAAAGCAUCUAAGCACGAAACUUGCCCCGAGAUGAGUUCUCCCUGAGACUAUAAGUCUCCUGAAGGAACGUUAAAGACUAUGACGUUGAUAGGUCGGGUGUGUAAGUGUAGCGAUACAUUGAGCUAACCGAUACUAAUGAACCGUGAGGCUUAACCUUACAACGCCGAAGGUGUUU